UGAGGAAUAUUGCACAAUGGGGGAAACCCUGAUGCAGCAACGCCGCGUGGAGGAUGACGCAUUUCGGUGUGUAAACUCCUUUUAUCAGGGAAGAAGAUGACGGUACCUGAUGAAUAAGCGCCGGCUAACUCCGUGCCAGCAGCCGCGGUAAUACGGAGGGCGCAAGCGUUACUCGGAAUCACUGGGCGUAAAGGACGCGUAGGCGGCCCAUUAAGUCAGGUGUGAAAUCCUACAGCUUAACUGUAGAACUGCACUUGAAACUGGUGGGCUAGAGUAUGGAAGGGGCAGAUGGAAUUAGUGGUGUAGGGGUAAAAUCCGUAGAUAUCACUAGGAAUACCGAAAGCGAAGGCGAUCUGCUGGGACAUAACUGACGCUGAGGCGUGAAAGCGUGGGGAGCAAACAGG
rnacentral:rRNA from 1 species